rnacentral:rRNA from 1 species
UACGAAGGGGGCUAGCGUUGCUCGGAAUUACUGGGCGUAAAGCGCACGUAGGCGGCUUUCUAAGUCGGGGGUGAAAUCCUGGAGCUCAACUCCAGAACUGCCUUCGAUACUGGAGAGCUCGAGUCCGGGAGAGGUGAGUGGAACUGCGAGUGUAGAGGUGAAAUUCGUAGAUAUUCGGAGGAACACCAGUGGCGAAGGCGGCUCACUGGUCCGGUACUGACGCUGAGGUGCGAAAGCGUGGGGAGCAAACAGG